CAGGGAAGGGGCGUGGCAGGUUAGCAGCAGCCCAGGCAUUGGUGGGGAGGUGAUGCCACUGAGUCACUGAGAAGCAACCUUCUUUUUCCUCCAAAGGAGGCUGGGAGACAUGGGACUCUGCCCUGCUCCUGAGAUGGGCACCCAGCUGCUGCACGUGGCCUUCUGUCUCCUGUGGGCAGGACACAUGGAGGCUGCUGUCACCCAACGUCCAAGACACAAGCUCACAGAGACAGGAAGACAGGUGAAUUUGAGCUGUCGCCAGAAUGACAACCAUGACUACAUGUACUGGUAUCGACAAGACCCUGGACAUGGGCUGAGGCUGCUCUAUUACUCAAAUGCAGAAAGAAGCACUGUAAAAGGAGACAUCCCCGAUGGGUACAGCGUGUCCAGACCACGCACGGAGGAGUUCUCCCUCACUGUGGACUCAGCCACCCCCUCCCACACAGCUGUGUACUGGUGUGCCAGCAGUUUCUCCACGGUGUCCAGGAGCCUUCUCCAGUUGUGGUAA